CGUAGUCAACAUGCCCAGGGGACGUGGAUAACCUCGGGAAACUGAGGAUAAACCACGAUAAGUCACUACUUCUGGAAUGGGUAAUGACUCAAAUCUACAUGGCCCCUGGAUUGGACUGCGGCCGAUCAGGCUGUUGGUGAGGUAAUGGCCCACCAAACCUGUAACCGGUACGGGCUCUGAGAGGAGGAGCCCGGAGAUGGGCACUGAGACAAGGGCCCAGGCCCUAUGGGGCGCAGCAGGCGCGAAACCUCUGCAAUAGGCGAAAGCCUGACAGGGUUACUCUGAGUGAUUUCCGUUAAGGAGAUCUUUUGGCACCUCUAAAAAUGGUGCAGAAUAAGGGGUGGGCAAGUCUGGUGUCAGCCGCCGCGGUAAUACCAGCACCCCGAGUGGUCGGGACGUUUAUUGGGCCUAAAGCAUCCGUAGCCGGUUCUACAAGUCUUCCGUUAAAUCCACCUGCUUAACAGAUGGGCUGCGGAAGAUACUAUGGAGCUAGGAGGCGGGAGAGGCAAGCGGUACUCGAUGGGUAGGGGUAAAAUCCGUUGAUCCAUUGAAGACCACCAGUGGCGAAGGCGGCUUGCCAGAACGCGCUCGACGGUGAGGGAUGAAAGCUGGGGGAGCAAACCGGAUUAGAUACCCGGGUAGUCCCAGCCGU
rnacentral:rRNA from 1 species